AUGGAAUGGAUAUGGAAAAUCAUCUUCCUGCUCACAGUGUCUACAGGUGUGGACUCCCAGAAGCAGCUGGUGCAGUCUGGGGCUGAGUUGAGGAAGCCUGGGACAUCAGUGAAGAUCUCCUGCAAGGCAUCCGGAUUCAGCUUCAACUACUGGGUGAGCUGGGUACAGCAGCGCCCUGGACAAGGACUUGAGUUCAUGGGAAGGAUAGAUUUUAGAGAUGGUGAGACAAAUUACGCACCGAAGUUCCAGGGCAGAGUCACCCUCACUGCAGACAAGUCCACCAGCACAGCCUACAUGGAAAUGAGAAAUCUGACGCCUGAGGGCACAGGCACUUAUUUCUGUGCGAGAGACACAGUGUGA